GGUGCGGUAAGAGCGCACCGCGCACGUGGUAACACGUGUGGCAUGGUAAACCCCACUCGGAGCAAAACCAAAUAGGUGUUCUAUAGGCGCGGCUCGCGCUGAACACGGGUAGGUUGCUUGAGGUUUAUAGCAAUGUAAACCCUAGAUGAAUGACUGUCCACGACAGAACCCGGCUUACAGGUUGGCUGCUUUU
rnacentral:RNase_P_RNA from 1 species